rnacentral:rRNA from 1 species
AACGAACGCUGGCGGCAGGCCUAACACAUGCAAGUCGAGCGAGGACUCCGGUUCUAGCGGCGGACGGGUGAGUAACGCGUGGGAAUGUUCCCUUCUCCACGGAAUAGCCCUGGGAAACUGGGAGUAAUACCGUAUACGCUCUUCUGGGGACAGAUGUAUCGUAGAAGGGUCAGCCGGCGUUGGACUAGGCAGUUGGGGGUGUAAUGGCCUACCACGCCGACGAUCCAUAGCUGGGUAGAGAGGAAGAUCAGCGACACUGGGACUGGGACACGGCCCAGACUCCUACGGGAGGCAGCAGUGGGGAAUCUUAGACAAUGGGGGCAACCCUGAUCGAGCCAUGCCGCGUGAGUGAUGAAGGCCUUAGAGUUGUAAAGCUCUUUCAGCUGGGAAGAUAAUGACGGUACCAGCAGAAGAAGCCCCGGCUAACUCCGUG